UUUUUUGUCAUUUUUUAAUUAGAAUGUCAAUUGAGUGUCAAGUGAAUGUCGUGCAAGAAAUGACUGAGCAAAAAAGAGAUUAUGACAAGGUUUGAAAAAAAAGUCCCGGCUAAUCUCGUGCCAGCAGCCGCGGUAAUACGAGAGGGGCAAGCGUUAUUCGGAAUGAUUGGGCGUAAAGAGCACGUAGGCGGUUUAUAAAAUCCUCAAUAAAAAACUCAAAGCUUAACUUUGAUUAAAGCUGAUGGAUGCAUAAACUAGAGUAAGUAAAAGGAGAGUGGAAUUUCUGGAGUAGAGGUAAAAUUUGUUGAUCUCAGAAGGAACACCGAAAGCGAAGGCAGUUCUCUGGUACUUUACUGACGUUGAGGUGCGAAAGCGUGGGGAUCAAACGGGAUUAGAUACCCCAGUAGUCCACGCUGUCAACUAUGACUAUUCCCUGUUCAACUCUAUCCUAAUAGAGUCGAGUGGGUUAGCUAACGCGUUAAAUAGUCCGCCUGAGGAGUACGGUCGCAAGACUAAAACUCAAAGGAAUAGACGGGGGCUCACACAAGUGGUGGAACAUGUGGUUUAAUUCGAAACAACGCGCAAAACCUUACCAGUCCUUGACUUUCUAUUUUCUCCAACUCACUUAAUUGAGUUUUUUCUUUGAUUCUACAUUUUCUUGUGGAAUAAAAAAGGUUGAAUAGAACAGGUGUUGCAUGGCUGUCGUCAGCUCGUGUGGUGACAUGUUGGAUUAAUUUCCUUAACGAGCGAAACCCCUACCCUAUCUCUACUAAUCGUUUUUCUCUUUUUUACUCAACAUUAGGUGUUGAGGAAGAAUAAGAAAAAUCAAGCACAGAUCAAGGGGACUGCCAGUGAUAAACUGGAGGAAGGGAGGGAUCACGUCAAGUCUUCAUGACCCUUAUGGACUGGGCUACACACGUGUUACAAUGGUGAGGACAAAGAGAUGCAAUGAAGAAAUUCGGAGCAAAACUCAAAAAACUCAUCUCUGUUCAGAUUGAUCUCUGCAAUUCGAGAUCAUGAAGGUGGAAUCACUAGUAAUCGUGAAUCAGCACGUCACGGUGAAUUUGUACCUGAGCCUUGUACUCCCCGCCCGUCACGCACUUCGAAUUCAUCAGGCUGGAAAGAGAAGCUUUUCACUUUUUCUAUUGAGCUUCUGAGAAGCUCCGUUGAUACAACAGUAGAAGGUCUUGAAAAAUCUACCAAGGUAGGGUAAGUGAGAGGUGCGAAGUCGUAACAAGGUAGCCGUAGGGGAACCUGCGGCUG
rnacentral:rRNA from 1 species